UUGCAGGUGAGCUUUGGUUUUAAACUUUUCUAUUGCUUUCGGUGCUUUUCCCUUAUGGUCAUACGGAGGAAAUUUUUCACAAGCUCUAACAUUUGAUGUAUGCUUUUGAAGGUUUUAUAUGUUUGAGAAGAGUAUUAAAAGAAACCAAGUAAAAACAAGUUUUAUAUGUUUGAGAAGAGCAUUGGAAGAAACCAAGUAAAAACAAGUCAAAAAGGAGCUAAAAUGAAGAAAAUGGAAAAAUUGGUUAGAGGUGCAAAAAGUGGCCAGAUUUGUAAAUCUGAAAUCUGAAAAUUUGGGGGUUAUUUUCGUAACUUUUUAUUGGGAAAUUUUUGGAAACCUUAAAAGCAACUCUUUGAAGACAAUAUCAUCAUCUUUGGCCAUUUCAUACAUGUCUUGGAGAGCUUAGGGUUCUUACACUCACACUUGGGGAAUGAAGAUUUGAAGACUUUUGAUGUAUGCAUUUUCUACUUAGUCCGUCAAGCACUUAACAUGUUGGUGAGCUUACUUACUAUCUAAUCUUGUUUAUAUCAUAGAAAUUUUGAGUAGAUAUGAAGCUUAGUUACUGUCUAAUUUUGGACCCGACAAGGCAUUUUGAGCUUACCCUAUGAGAAUCUCUUCCAUCCAGUCAAGUAUAGUCAUAGAAAUUAACAAAUUUAGAUCUCAUGUGUGAUUAUUUCAGCACCUCAGUUGUUAUUUUCAAAGAGUAGGAUAAAUUGUUGACUUAAUUAUUCUUGCUUAUUUGCUUUUGCUUCUCUUCUUGAGUAGAAAGAAGAGAGAGGGUAAAUUUAUGCAGUAAAAACUUCCGUUGCUCACUAAUUGAGAAAAGAAAAGAAAACAAGUUAAUCUUUUCAUCCUAAUUAUUUAGACAAUUAAUAUUUCGUGUCCAUGAUUCUGAGUGGCUGACCAGCUUUUGCUGACAAACAAUUUUGACUGGCUUUCUAUUAAUUACUAUAAGCUAUAGUACGUAGUUUUAUUAGAUUAUAUAAUUCUACACACUCAUAAAGUAGCUUUACUUUGUAAUCUUCUUCUUCUUUUAUUAAAGUAAAGGUUUAUUUUACCUUGUAAUCUUUCAUUGAAUUAGGGGUUGCUACAUUCAUAAUUUCGACUAGCACAUUUUAUUGCAUCUUGCUCAUAUAUUUGGUUGUUCUUAUUAUGAACAGAGGAUGAUACCAUCAUUCUCACCAAGGUUAAAGUAUCUCUGCUGGUGUUAUUCCAUCAGCAUGUUUAUGAUCAUGAAUGCCUUUUUCAUAGAAGUGAACGAAUAGAAUCUGCCAGACUCCCUCGGUUAGCAAUACUGCUUGUUGAUUGCUCAUUUUCAGUGAUUACGAUUUUGCGAUUGAACAAUCCUAAUUUGAAAAGGCUUCAACUACUUUUGGGCGUUAUUGAUGAAACUUUUCAUUUUUUAUGUUAGAUAGAAACCAGUAUAACAAAGUUCUCUUUCCUACCCAAAUAUGUUUCUCUUGUGGCACUACAAUCAAAUUACAAGGUUGCACAUAUAGAGAAAGUUCACCAAAGAUAUGAGAUACGGGCUGUCUUGGACAGUUGAAAGCGCAAAAUGCAUCAAAAUAGUGCCUGACAGAGGCCACGGAGGAAAAGAGAGUUCUUUCGUUAAUUAUUUGCUAAUUAUACAACUACAAGUUGCUGAAAGUCGAUUGACAUAUAAAUAAAAAGAUCUUUACACUAAUGCAUUAAUGGUAUAAAACUGGUUAAGUAAAAAAUCAAAGAUAUUAAACAUAGAGUUUUAAGGCUGGGAGAAACAAGUACUCUUUUGGCAAAAGUUUGAUCGAUUAUAUCUCGAAUAUGUUGUCUUUAAUCAAAACCUGAUGAGUUAUAGCAUUUCAUAGUUUUGAUGAUUGACAAACUAUCCAAGGACCAGGUCCUCCAUCAGGUCCCAU